rnacentral:rRNA from 1 species
GGGUGAUUAGUGGCGAACGGGUGAGUAAUACGUGAGUAACCUGCCCUUGACUCUGGGAUAAGCCUGGGAAACCGGGUCUAAUACUGGAUACUACUCCUCAUCGCAUGGUGGGGGGUGGAAAGGGUUUUACUGGUUUUGGAUGGGCUCACGGCCUAUCAGCUUGUUGGUGGGGUAAUGGCUCGCCAAGGCGACGACGGGUAGCCGGCCUGAGAGGGUGACCGGCCACACUGGGACUGAGACACGGCCCAGACUCCUACGGGAGGCAGCAGUGGGGAAUAUUGCACAAUGGGCGGAAGCCUGAUGCAGCGACGCCGCGUGAGGGAUGACGGCCUUCGGGUUGUAAACCUCUUUCAGCAGGGAAGAAGCCACAAGUGACGGU